rnacentral:rRNA from 1 species
UAAAGCAUUCUUAUGCAUCUCGUUUAAACCGAAAACUUCCCAUAUUAUUUUGCUACCAAAACUUCUAAUUAUGUCUCACUAAAUAAAACCAUCUAUUUCUUAAACCGAGCCUCUCCUUAUCUUACACACACACCCGCAUGGCUUCCUUUUAAUACAAACCUAGUAUAUCUUAACCUUAGUACCUUUUGCAUCAUGGCUUAGCAAUCUUACAGACUACUUCCCUAUCCCGAAACCAUAACGAGCUACUUAAUUUUUGUUACGCACUCAAAAUCUAUUGUUGCAUUAAUUCUUCUAAAAAUUUAAUUAGAGGCUACAUACCAACCGCGUAUGGAGAUAGCUGGUUAGUUUCUUUCGCAUCUAAGUGCAGAAAUUUGACCCCCCAAAUAUCUUAAUCUUUCUAGGAUAAGCUAGAAACCUAUACUUUAUUUUUAAACAAAGAACACCUAAAUUUAUAAGCUCUAAACCAGCUAUUAUCUCAUAAACCCGUUUCAGGGUACCUAAACUUCACUCUAAAAAUUUUACUUUAAUACCCACCUAAGAAUCUAUCCUAGACCAACCUCAACUCUACUUUUAUCAUGCUAAGAUUAGUAUUCUAUUCAUUUUCAACUAAUUAUAUAAAUUCCAAUAAUUUAAUAUCCCACCUUUAUAUAUUUUUAAUAAACUCUGCAUAUCACGAAUUCGACUGUUUACCAAAAACAUUGCUUUUAGUCACCCUAUUAAAAGUUCAUCCUGCCCAGUGAUAAUUUCAACGGCCGCGGUACUCUGACCGUGCAAAGGUAGCAUAAUCAUUUGCCUCUUAAUUAGAGGCUGGAAUGAAAGGACAAACGAAAUUCCAACUGUAUCAUUCUUACCAUAUAAAAAUUAUACUCCAGGUGAAGAUACCUGGAUUCUAUCGAAAGACAAGAAGACCCUAUAGAGUUUUAGUUCUAUACUUUUCCCCUACUAAAAGAACUUUGGUUGGGGCGACCUAGGAACUUUCUAACAUCCUUUCCUUAAAAAGAACUAUUAUUCCUAUUAAUGAUCCUAUCUCUAGACUCCAAAAUAAACUACCUUAGGGAUAACAGGCUUAUCUUCCUAGAGAGCUCAAAUUGACAGGAAGGUCUGGCACCUCGAUGUUGGCUUAGAGUAACCCAAUAACGCAAAAGUUAUUAAAGGUCGGUUUGUUCAACCGUUAAACCUCUACAUGAGCUGAGUUCAGACCGGCGUAAGCCAGGUUAGAUUCUAUCUUCGAUUAACCUUGAUCUCUCUAGUACGAAAGGACCGAGAAAUCUAAUUUUAUUAACCUUUUGAACCCAUUUAAAUCCUUUUCCUCAAUACUAUUUUAUACUAAAAUCUCUUAUUUCCACCACACAUAUUUUAUAUAUAUAU